AUUGAACGCUGGCGGCAUGCCUAACACAUGCAAGUCGAACGAGUGGCGGACGGGUGAGUAAUGUCUGGGAAACUUCCUGAUGGAGGGGGAUAACUCCUGGAAACGGUAGCUAAUACCGCAUACCAUCAGAUGUGCCCAGAUGGGAUUAGCUAGUGGGUGGGGUAACGGCUCACCACGGCGACGAUCCCUAGCGGGUCUGAGAGGAUGACCAGCCAAACUGGAACUGAGACACGGUACAGAGUCCUACGGGAGGCAGCAGGGGGGAAUAUUGGACAAUGGGGGAAAGCCGGAUGCAGACAUGCCGCGUGUAUGAAGAAGGCCUUCGGGUGGUAAAGUACGUUCAGCGGGGAGGCGUUACCCGCAGAAGAAGCACCGGCUAACUCCGUGCCAGCCGCCGCGGUAAUUC
rnacentral:rRNA from 1 species